CCCUCGGUCGUCUAGUUGGUUUAUGGCGUCCGGCUGUAAUUCGUGAAUGGUACCGGAAUGUCGCGCGUUCGACUCGCGCCUGAGGGA
rnacentral:tRNA from 1 species